GACGAACGCUGGCGGCGUGCUUAACACAUGCAAGUCGAACGGAAAGGCCCUGCUUGCCGGGUACUCGAGUGGCGAACGGGUGAGUAACACGUGGGUGAUCUGCCCUGCACUUCGGGAUAAGCUUGGGAAACUGGGUCUAAUACCGGAUAGGAGCCAUCUUUAGUGUGGUGGUUGGAAAGUUUUUUCGGUGUAGGAUGAGCUCGCGGCCUAUCAGCUUGUUGGUGGGGUAAUGGCCUACCAAGGCGGCGACGGGUAGCCGGCCUGAGAGGGUGUACGGCCACAUUGGGACUGAGAGACGGCCCAGACUCCUACGGGAGGCAGCAGUGGGGAAUAUUGCACAAUGGGCGCAAGCCUGAUGCAGCGACGCCGCGUGGGGGAUGAAGGCCUUCGGGUUGUAAACUCCUUUCGCUAGGGACGAAGCGUUUUUGUGACGGUACCUAGAUAAGAAGCACCGGCUAACUACGUG
rnacentral:rRNA from 1 species